AUGACACUUGAGCAUUUAUUAGGAAAAGCAUCUAGGAUCAUCUAGCAUCUAAUAUACAAUUUCUUAAUUUUAUUUUUGAAAAAUACUGGGUUAAGUGAAACAAUUUAAGGUUGUUGUUUUUUUUUCCCUCUUCAUUUCACCUUCCUUAGGUGGCGGUAAUGCACCUUUUAGAAGAGUUGCCAACCAGCAUUAAACUCGAAAGAAGAAGAAGAGGAGUAAGAAGAGGAAGACCCUUUCAGGACCGUGUUACAGCAAGAUCAAUGUGACAACUCACGCAGAUAGCUGGAGAAACUUUAGGUGCAGUAAUGAAAUGGGACAAAGACACAGUGGAGGAGAUAAUCAUACAACAUGCUUCAGCUCUCCUCCUUAAUCAUGCAGGAGUAAGAAAGGGAGGGAUUGAUGUUUAUUUAUUAAUUAUACACUGCAGUGUGAGUUAAUUUUCACUGUUUACUUCAAUUUUGUACACACACACACAAAGUGUCUAACUAUAAAUAGAAAUUACAUUGAAAUAAAAGUGAGUUUUAACUGAA